rnacentral:rRNA from 1 species
AACGAACGCUGGCGGCAUGCCUAACACAUGCAAGUCGAACGAGACCUUCGGGCCUAGUGGCGCACGGGUGCGUAACGCGUGGGAACCUGCCCUUAGGUUCGGAAUAACUCCCCGUAAGGGGUGCUAAUACCGGAUAAUGUCUUCGGACCAAAGAUUUAUCGCCUUUGGAUGGGCCCGCGUUGGAUUAGCUAGUUGGUAGGGUAAAAGCCUACCAAGGCGACGAUCCAUAGCUGGUCUGAGAGGAUGAUCAGCCACACUGGGACUGAGACACGGCCCAGACUCCUACGGGAGGCAGCAGUGGGGAAUAUUGGACGAUGGGCGAAAGCCUGAUCCAGCAAUGCCGCGUGAGUGAUGAAGGCCUUAGGGUUGUAAAGCUCUUUUACCCGGGAUGAUAAUGACAGUACCGGGAGAAUAAGCUCCGGCUAACUCCGUG